GACGAACCGUGCGAACGUUGUUCGGAAUCACUGGGCUUAAAGGGCGCGUAGGCGGCUUGCCAAGUCGGUGGUGAAAUCCUGCAGCUUAACUGUAGAAGUGCCUCCGAUACUGGCGAGCUCGAGGGAGGUAGGGGUCUGUGGAACUUCUGGUGGAGCGGUGAAAUGCGUUGAUAUCAGAAGGAACGCCGGUGGCGAAAGCGACGGACUGGAUCUCUUCUGACGCUGAGGCGCGAAAGCUAGGGGAGCAAACGGG
rnacentral:rRNA from 1 species